rnacentral:rRNA from 1 species
AACGAACGCUGGCGGCAUGCCUAAUACAUGCAAGCCGAACGAUCACUUCGGUGGUAGUGGCGCACGGGUGCGUAACGCGUGGGAAUCUGCCCUUGGGUUCGGAAUAACGUCGGGAAACUGACGCUAAUACCGGAUGAUGACGUAAGUCCAAAGAUUUAUCGCCCAGGGAUGAGCCCGCGUAGGAUUAGCUAGUUGGUGGGGUAAAGGCCUACCAAGGCGACGAUCCUUAGCUGGUCUGAGAGGAUGAUCAGCCACACUGGGGCUGAGACACGGCCCAGGCUCCUGCGGGAGGCAGCAGUAGGGAAUAUUGGACAAUGGGGGCAACCCUGAUCCAGCAAUGCCGCGUGAGUGAUGAAGGCCUUAGGGUUGUAAAGCUCUUUUACCCGGGAUGAUAAUGACAGUACCGGGAGAGUAAGCCCCGGCUAACUCCGUGCCAGCAGCCGCCGCGG